rnacentral:siRNA from 1 species
CAACGACCGUGAUGUAUUCCUUGG